AUGGCAGAUAAGUUGAAGAAUAUAUCUAUUAUAGCUCGCUUUAUAGGGUAUCCAAAGAAAUCUAUGGGAUACUACUACUUUUCAUAAGACCACAAUGUGAUUGUGAGUCGAAAUACCAUAUUUUUAGAAAAAUAGUUUAUCCAGGAUAACGAUAAUGGGAGGUUAGUCGAGCUCGGAGAGAAUUUUUGAAGAGCCUAGAGCUAU
rnacentral:lncRNA from 1 species